AUGCACGGCCUGGAGCGGGCGCGAGUGCGAGCACGAGCGGUGGUGGGCAUGGGCGAGGCGAGCACGGGCGGGGGCGGGCGUGAGAGCGAGCGCUCGAGGCGCGCACGAGCGGGAGUAGGCACGGGCACGAGCACGAGCAAGGGCAGGUGUGUGCGCGAGCACAAGCAGGAGCGAGCGCGGGUGAGGCGAGCACGAGCAGGGGCGGGCGCGAGAGCGAGCACAAGCAGGCGAGCGAGGCGAGCACGGGCUUCACUCCAGCGAGCGGCGGCCUCCCGAGCCAUGAGCACACGGUCACUGAGAGCACCGCGACGGCGGGGGCGGGCGCGGGUGGCUUCUCUCAAGCGAGCUACUACUGCUAGGCGAGUAGCAGCGCGGAGCUGCGGGGCGGGAGCAGCGGCGACUGAGCGGAGGCAACACUCGUGCACCAGCAUCGUUCCUCACUGCAAGCUUCGUGUUUGA
rnacentral:rRNA from 1 species